ACCACCACCUCUUGGCCACCGAACCCCCACCACCCACCGCUCGUCCGACAAGCCGUCUCACCGUUGAGCCCGACGAGCUGUCUUGCCGUCCGCGCCGCCGUGAGGCACCGCCGCCGUCCCCUGCCGCCGUCACCACCUCUUGCUGCCGCUUGCUCGGCCGUCCGGGCCGUUGUUGCUCCCGAACCGUCACCACCUCCGCCCGAACCCGGACGAGUUCCUCGACGAAUCUCCACACGGAGUCGGGCCUCAAGUCCCUCGACGAGUUCCUCUCCGGCAAGACCUACAUCUCCGGGUAAAGCUCGUCUACAAGAAGCCGGCGAAGAAGACGACCGCAUCCCCAUCUUCGUCGGCUCGGAGGACCUCGCCUCGCGUGGAACCAUGUAUCAUCCCACCAGAGGCAACGUUCGCGGUGGCAAAGACCGAGGAGAUGCAGAGGGGACGAAUCUGGAGCCGGAGUCGUAUAAGGAGAAUAUAAAGGAGAAUCAAGGGAAGAUUAAGCUCAACAAGCAACUCCCUUACUUAGUCGGCAGUAUUCUACUCUUUAAUGUUUAAUGUAUGCUUCUGCUUUGGGCAGGAUGCAAGGAUAUUGAUGAUGCCCUGCACUAUACAGCCCUUUCCAAUGGAAAUUUUGAAGUUGGAUAGCAAAUAUGGGAAGGACAUGGAUAGAUAUGAAGAAUACAGUAAAGCAGUACCAGCAAUAUUGGUGGCUGCUUUCACUCUCUCUUUGUGACAAAGCUCAACUUGCAGGUUAUGCCUUUCCCAUGAGAAUAUGCACUUGAUAGAUUAUGUCAUUGCAAGCGAAUGGGUUCAACCUCAGUGGCUGAAAUUUUUGUUUGCCUUGCUUUAUAACCUCAGCAUCCUCUUUUACAGGAAUAAGCAAGUAGAAGAGGUCAGUGGAAAAAUGUCUUUGAAAAAUUGAUAGCUGAAAAUGACAAUUUACUUGCUUUGCCCAUAACAUGUUGAAAUGUGAUUGAGCGACAAACAUGUAAUUUC